AUUGAACGCUGGCGGCAGGCCUAACACAUGCAAGUCGGACGGUAGCACAGAGGAGCUUGCUCCUCGGGUGACGAGUGGCGGACGGGUGAGUAAUGUCUGGGGAUCUGCCCGAUAGAGGGGGAUAACCACUGGAAACGGUGGCUAAGACCGCAUAACGCCGCAAGACCAAGGAGGGGUACCUUCGGGCCUCUCCCUAUCGGAUGAACCCAGAUGGGAUUAGGUAGUAGGCGGGGUAAUCGCCCACCUAGGCGGCGGUCCCUAGCUGGUGUGAAAGGAUGACCGGCCACACGGGAACGGAGACACAGUCCAGACUCCUACGGGAGGCAGCAGUGGGGAAUAUUGCACAAUGGGCGCAAGCCUGAUGCAGCCAUGCCGCGUGUAUGAAGAAGGCCUUCGGGUUGUAAAGUACUUUCAGCGGGGAGGAAGGCGAUGUGGUUAAUAACCGCGUCGAUUGACGUUACCCGCAGAAGAAGCACCGGCUAACUCCGUGCCAGCCGCCGCGGUAA
rnacentral:rRNA from 1 species